rnacentral:lncRNA from 1 species
GCUCAGAGCAACAGUGUGAGGAUCUCCCACUACGGGGUGGGGGGGAAGAAGUCCUCGUGUCCCUUCCCAAGUGGGGCUGCAGCACUGGAAAAUGAAGAAAGAAGGCUGGAAGCGCAGCCAGGCCCCACUGUCACCCCUUGGGGACAGCUGUGGCAGGGACAGGGCCAACUCUGGGUGCUCAGCCCAGCUCAGGGCCCAAAAGGAAUGGGGACCCUUGGGGAUUUGCUCUGGUCCCAGCCCUGGGCAGGGACAAAGGGAUGAGGGAGGCUCCUGCCCAGCCUUAGUCACAGUCAGCGAUGCCUUAAGAAAUAGACACUAUGGCUCUUUGUGUUUUUCAUUAAAAAACCCUUUAUAUUCAUUUCAUGUCGGUUGAAAUCACAAGAAAUUAGGUUGGGGAGGGGGAGGGGGAGGAGGGAAGGAGAAAAAAAAAAAGAAGAGGGGACAAAUACAGACAAAACAGCACAGUCUCCCCCCACGUUCAGUGCUUUCACGGGGUCGGGGGCACAGGACAAGACCUAGGACAUCAGCUACUGUGUGACUUAGUGAAGUAACGCAAAGAUGGGCAAGGCAGAGGCCGGUCUCCCUUCAGAGCAGGUUAUGUGGCCCCUCCACAUCCUCCUGCGGGCAGUCCCAACGUGCUCAGCUCUCCUCAUCCUCAGCUCUCUUCUGCAUCAUCCACAGACUCUGACUCCCCACGAACCCUCUCCCGUUCGGCGCUAGGAUAAUCCUGCACGUUGUUAUGGGCCUCCUCGCUGGGUGCCUCCAGCUCUCCAGCUCCUGGCCCUCGGCUUUUGUCUCUCUCCUGCUCCUCUGUGCCCUCCGUUUUUUGGGACAAGGAUUCACCAUUCACAGGACCUGACAAGUCAGCAUUCAUCUCCUCUUCUCCCUUCUCAUUCUGUGUCUCCCCUCCUGACAGCUUCUCCUGGCCUUUCUCCACAUCCCCCUUGUCCUUCUCAGGCCCAGCUUUGUUAGCUUUCUGGAUUGCUUCCAUCUUUGGUCCUAGGACACGCGACUUCAACCGGGUGUAGACUUCAGCAGCCUUCUCCAUGACGUCCUUGUUUGCUUUAUAGCGACGGAUCUUCUUCAGAGUAGCCACCACAUCAGUGUGUUUCUGGAGGAUGUGAGAGGUGACCUGGAGUGCUCCCAGCUCUUCCAAUGCAUUCAGGCACCGCUUGAUGUCCGGGUUAUCCACCUUCAAGGCAAACUUGAUCUCACUGUGAAGUUUCUGAAGUUUCUCUUCAACUGUGGGCUCCUUUUUCUUCUCCAUUCUCCUUUCAGGGAUCAGGUCAGACUUCUUCCGGCCUCUUUCUACUUUCAAAGGUUUGUUUCGUGGUUUCUCCUCUGCUCGGCCUCUCUUCUCCUUCUGAUUCGGUUUCCUUGACAACUCUGAGGGCUGCUUCUUCGUUGGCUUCUUUACCUCUUUCUCCAUCUCCAGCUCAGAGUCUGAGGAGGAUGGGGCCUUACCCCGGCCUUUUCUGCCCUUUUUGGCCACUUCAUCAUCUGCACUGCUGUCGCUGUCUGAGUGCACCUCCUCCCCCUUCUCUGCUUUCUCCUUCCUUUUCUCUUUCUCCUCCUUCUCCUGCUCCCGGAGCCGACGGAUUUCUUCCUCUUGUUCCCUCUUUCUCUUCUCUUCCAGCUCCCGCCGCCUCUCCUCAUCUCGCCUCUUCCAUUCACUGAUACGGUCCACAUCACUGUCACUAUCACUGUCGCUGCUGGAGCUGAUAGGGACACGCUCAAGUUUCGGUUUCCUACCACGGGGUUUGGGAGGGGGUUUCUCAGCUGGCUUUCUGCCCCGUUGAGGCUUUUUAACAGACACGUCGGAGUCUGAAUCGGAGUUGGAGUCUGACUUGGUCAUGUCCACAGUCGCAUUUCCCAUUUCUGAGUCUGAAUCCACUUUGGAGUCAGAGUCGGAGCCAGAUUCCACUUUCUUCUUCUUCCUUCCCCCUGCAGGCAUCCUCCGGGGAGCCCUGGCCACUGGCUUCUUCUCAGGAGUAAAGUCCUGGUCACUGUUUUUUUCUGACUCAGAAGACGUUUCUGAGUUCUCCUCUUCUGUCAGGGAGGGGCUGCCCUGAUCUUCACUUGAAGAUUUCCGAGGCCUUUUUGCCACUGGCAUUUUCAUUGCCAGUGAUUUUCGCUUGAGCCCGCUGUGGUCGCUGCCUCGAUCUGAGUCCUCAUCACUUUCCAUUUUCUCUGUGGUGACUGCAGCCAUGGCAGCAUCAUCUUCAUCAUCACCAGCAUCGCUUCCCCCCAUCGGGUCAUUCUCGGGGAUGUCGCUGUCAGAGGAGCUCGCAGGCGGAGGGGCACUGUAACUGGCAUGAGGGUUGUUCUGGAUUUCCCAUAAUCCCUCGUUGAAGCCUUUUCUCUUGUUUGGUUUCCCAUAUUUGUCCUUAUACUUUUCAUAGGGGAACAGGUCUUUGGGGCCCAAAAAGGCGGUCUCGUGAGUGCCGAAGAAGAAGAUGGGGUACUUGUUCGGCGGGGGUUUCACAGCACCAUCCGCGAUGUCAUC